rnacentral:lncRNA from 1 species
AGGAAGGCUCGGGUGGACGCUGCCAACCAGCAAUCCAAUCUGCCUGAUGGCCAACCCUUUGACUGCUGGGAGCCUGGAGCUUUCUGAAUCAGACAACUUCCAGACUUCACAUGUGCUGCCAAGCACAAGAUAUAUUCUGGAAAAGAAGAGGAGGAGGAAGAAGAAUGACUGUAAAGGAAGGAGCAGUACUGUUUUCAUGAGGACCUACUAUGUGCCAGACAUUAUUCUAGGUGCUGGGAAACUUGCAGCUACUUGGGAGGCUAAGGUGGGAAGAUCGCUUGAGCCCAGGAGGUCGAGGCUGCGGUGAACCAAGAUUGUGACACUGCACUCCAGCCUGGGCAACAGAUGCUGUGUGAAGAUGAAGGCAGAGAUCAGGCUGAUGCUUAUGGAAAGCCAGAGAUUGCCAACAAACCACCAAAAGCUAGGAGAGAGGCCUGGAACAGAUUCUCUCUGAGUCCUCAGAAGGAACCAACCCUGCCAACACUGUGAUCUUGGACUUCUAAACCCCAGAACUGUGAAAUAAUAAAUGUCUGAUGU